rnacentral:rRNA from 1 species
GUGAACGAUCAAGGGCGCGCGGUGGAUGCCUAGGCUCUCGGAGGCGAUGAAGGACGCGAUAAGCCGCGAUAGGCCACGGCGAGGUGCAAGUAACCCUUGACCCGUGGAUUUCCGAAUGGGGCAACCCGGCCGUCUAGAUGACGGUCAUCCAGCAAUGGAGGCGAACGCGGGGAACUGAAACAUCUCAUUACCCGCAGGAGAAGAAAACAACAGUGAUUCCCCCAGUAGUGGCGAGCGAACGGGGAAGAGCCCAAACCGGUGCCGUUUCGGCGACACCGGGGUCAUGGGACCGCGCCAUUCGACGAUGGACGAAGUGCAAUUACCUGGAAAGGUAAGCCGCGGAGGGUGAUAGCCCCGUGCACGACAGCCCCAUCGAAGAUAGCGGAAUCCCGAGUAGGGCGGGACACGAGAAAUCCUGCCUGAAUUCGCCAGGACCCCCUGGCAAGGCUAAAUACUCCCGAGAGACCGAUAGUGAACCAGUACCGCGAGGGAAAGGUGAAAAGUACCCCGAGCAGGGGGGUGAAAUAGACCCUGAACCCGCGCGCCUACAAGCGGUCGGAGCCAUGAAAUAUGGUGACGGCGUGCCUUUUGCAUAAUGAGCCUACGAGUUAGUCGUCACCAGCGAGGUUAAGGGCUUCAGGCCCGUUAGCCGAAGUGAAAGCGAGCCUUAACAGGGCGACGAGUUGGUGGCGCUAGACGCGAAACCUUGUGAUCUACCCACGAGCAGGUUGAAGUCGCGGUAACGCGUGAUGGAGGACCGAACCGGUAAACGUUGAAAAGUUUUCGGAUGACUCGCGGGUAGGGGUGAAAGGCCAAUCAAACUGGGAAAUAGCUCGUACUCUCCGAAAUGCAUUUCGGUGCAGCCUGUGAUGUUCUGUUCCAGAGGUAGAGCUACUGGUUGGACGCGAGGGCUUCACCGCCUAUCAAAUCCGGAUAAACUCCGAAUGCUGGAACACGAAAUCAUGGAGUGAGCCCGCGGGUGCUAAGGUCCGCGGACGAGAGGGAAAGAACCCGGACCACCGGCUAAGGUCCCGGAUGGACAGUUAAGUUGAUCAAACGAGGUGGGAUCGCGGAGACAGCUAGGAUGUUGGCUUGGAAGCAGCCAUUCAUUUAAAGAGUGCGUAACAGCUCACUAGUCGAGCGAUCCCGCGUGGAUAAUACACGGGCAUCAAACUGUCAACCGAAGCCGUGGGGUCAGUGUUGAACUGACCGGUAGGAGAGCAUUCCUGCCAGCGUUGAAGGUCACCCGCGAGAGUGACUGGAGCGGCAUGAAAAGCAAAUGUAGGCAUAAGUAACGAUAAUGGGGGCGAGAACCCCCCACGCCGCAAGACCAAGGAUUCCCCGGCAAUGUCAAUCAGCCGGGGGUCAGCCGGCCUCUAAGGCUAACCCGAAGGGGGACGCCGACGAGAAACGGGUUAACAUUCCCGUGCUUCUCGUCACCGUGACGCGGUGACGGGGUGAUGAAUGGACCGCGCGCUGACGGAAUAGCGCGUUGAAGACCGUACCCUUUGACGGUGGUAGUCAAGCACGCCACCGGAGGCGAAAGUCGAUAGUACCUCGAGGCCUCGGCCGAGGGGAUAGCGUCCAGGCAAUUUACCCCCGAGAAAACCCGCUAAACUUCAAGUGACGAGGAACCGUACUGUAAACGGACACACGUGGUCGGGUAGAACAUACCAAGGCGCUCGAGUGAUUCAUGGUCAAGGAACUAGGCAAAAUAGUCCUGUAACCUCGGGAAAAAGGACGCUCUAGUGAUAGAGCCGCAGAGUAAUGGCCCAGGCGACUGUUUACCAAAAACACAUGGCUAUGCCAAAUCGAAAGAUGACGUAUAUGGCCUGACACCUGCCCGGUGCCGGAAGGUUAAGAGGAGAGCUCAUCGGAAACGAGAAGGUUUGAAUUGAAGCCCCGGUAAACGGCGGCCGUAACUAUAACGGUCCUAAGGUAGCGAAAUUCCUUGUCGGGU